rnacentral:lncRNA from 1 species
GACCUGACUCGAGCUAACCCAUAAACCCAUGAUUUAUAAAAUUUAUAUCUUAGAUCUUUGAUUCUCAAAUCUAGAUUACUUAAUUCAUAAUUAAGUUUUGGGCUAACAUUGAUUGGGGUUCGAUAUUUGAAAAUAGUUUCAAGUUUUAUAAAAUAUUUUUGCAAACUAUCAUACAAUCAAAUAAAAUUAAUUUCAGAUCUAACAUGCAUUAUAUCAGAUCUAAAAAAAAAAUUUAACUCUUUUUAUUGUUCAUCUUCAUGGAAAAUACCGCACAGCAUCCCUAUACACUAUAGGAGAACUCCAUCG